rnacentral:misc_RNA from 1 species
GCAUUGGAACUUGGAAGUGGAUGCAUGUGCGACUUGAUGUGGCGUUGCAUGUGGGAGGCUCCAUUGGUAAUGGUAAGCGUAUUAAUAAAUUAGGCAGUAGUAUGUCCUUCAACAAUCUGUUAUGUCCAAACAUGGAAUGAGUCGCAUGUGACUAAGUCAACCAAAUGUGGCAACAACAAUUAAUCAGCAAUGGAAUUAGUCAGUGGAAAACAACACAUUCAUUCCUGGGGAUGGUUUUGAGUUUAUCUAUGCUUAUUGCCAACUGGAAGGAUUCCUCUUUUUCACAGAACUUUACCAUUUUCAUGGUAUACUUAACUGUUUGUCAGCGGAUUGUCACUUGGCAUCAUUAGAAUGGUAUGGUCCAUAUCAGCAGUGUUAUGAUGCACUUCUUAAUACACCAAUCCCUCAGAAAAUAUUCAAAUUGAAAUUAUGGAAAUUUCUGCCCUUCAUGCAGAACUGCACAAUGAUGGGGUUCGUAUAAACAAGCUUGAAAUGACAAAAUCAACAGUAUUUUUGGUUUGGCUUACACAUGCAGCUCUAUGGCAUGUUGAUGUUAGCUAAAUUGUUAUUAGUCAUAGGGGUAGGUAGUAUGAAAUGAAAUAUCUUCUCUUGGAUGUUUGUGUCUAUGUAUUUGUUUGAGAUGACUCUUGAUACAGGAAGCUUUUCCUGCUUCUUACGAAAAGGGACAUUGGAUGCCUUAAUGUCUAAUACCACCAAGUGUCAUUGCAAAGAUAGGUCAAAGAUAUAUUAAUAUAGAUUACACUCUGAGUGAUGGUGACAUGGUAAAAAGAGAGAGCAGUAUGAAUAUUUGCUGCAUCAUUUACUUCUAUUAUUUAUAUCUUCAAGGUAUCUUACUGAUUUCUAUUGGUUUUAUUUGUGGAAAGAAUAUCUCGAGCGGGAGAAUUGGAUCACAAUUGACUAGAUGUUUUACUAUUUUAAAUGAGUUUAUCACAAAGAAUUUUUUACUGAUUCAUGUUCUGUAAUGUAGGUAGAAUAAUCGCAAUGUCGUGGUAGUAAUUCGCGAGAGAUAUGCCAAUAGGGUUUCGCUGUUUUCAAUUCGCAAUCGUAAUGGAUUUGAAGAGGAUAUUGAUGGAGUUUUGGUAUAAAAAAGUACAUGUUCGUUGGAAGGGCACCGAAGAGUUCCGGAUCCUUUUACUAUCGCACAUAUUAUGUGCGUGUAAAACUAAAGGCUAAAAGAAGAAGAAUGAUUCAAAAACUGUGGGAGAGAAUCAUCAAAGAAUUAUACUCGUUUAGGUAAUCCUUUCGAAUUCGAUUCCGCCGUUUUUGCUGCCCUUUUCUAUAAAGCACUUCUACAGAGUGACGACUCGUCGCGAGUGCAUAACAUCCAUAUCGAUAACGGUUUCCUGCGUAAAGACGAAUCCGAUCAAGUCGUCACUAGUUUACAGCAACUCGGGCUCAAUCUUCGGAUUUCUUUUCCAGACAGUGGCUUCUCAUUUCUAUUGUCAUACCAGCAAUCAGAUUUGAUGUUUCGAAUUGUUUUGGGUUGCUAAAGCAAGAUUUACUUUCUACGAUGCUUCCACCAACGUGCAUGGUCGCCAAACUUUGUCGUUGUGUCGGACUGUAAAUCCGGAAGAUAAACGUCGAAUUGUUGGCGAUAUGUUUGUCAAAGUGAUAGAUAGAACGGCUAACGAUUUAAAUGUCACUUGGGAUAAUCUACUUCUCGGAUAAGUUGCCUCAACAGCUGACAUUUCCCGUAUAUUUUCAAGACAUCUAGGGGAGAAAUAACUAACUCCGUAGAAUUUUUAUUGGUAUGUCAGCUGUCCCGUCAGCUGUUCCAUUUCGCGUGGCUUCGGACAGAGGAUGGCUGCUGAAACGAACGUCUCUUCUUGAAAUUUUACCACUGAUUCCGUGUAUUUUGAGUUGCAUCUUGUGAAUUCAACUAGUGCAGAGUUGUUCAAGGAGGAACAUGGCUUGACUUUGCUAGUACGUUUUUCAUCUCCAUUAGUCUGAUAUACCCAUUUUGUUUCAAAGGUGAUAGGUAAAAAGAGUAGUUCUUUAUAAUCUUUUUCUCUAUCCAAAUCUCUUAGAUUCUUGGAGGUGUCAUCAGGUGAGGUUUGAAUUUAUUGGUAUUAGUUUGUUUUUUAAAUCAUGCUUUCAGGUCUUUGAGGUGUACCUGAUGUACUGUGGUGGCCGCAAAAUCAUUCAAUGACUUGGUUUUUUCUAUAGUGGUCAACAGUUUUAAUUUGCAGAGAUCCUGGAGGCACCUGAUGUGUUUCAUUGGCGUUGGAGUCACUCGGUGACAGUAAUGUUAUGUUGUCAGUUUAAAUAAAACAUAUCCAGUAUCA